rnacentral:rRNA from 1 species
AGAGGUGGCAAGCGUUGUUCGGAAUUACUGGGCGUAAAGGGCGCGUAGGCGGUCCGAUAAGUCCCGUGUGAAAUCCCUCGGCUCAACUGAGGAACCGCACGGGAAACUGCCGGGCUUGAGUUCGGGAGAGGGAAGCGGAAUUCCGGGUGUAGCGGUGAAAUGCGUAGAUAUCCGGAGGAACACCGGUGGCGAAGGCGGCUUCCUGGACCGACACUGACGCUGAGGCGCGAAAGCUAGGGGAGCAAACGGGAUUAGAUACCCCGGUAGUCCUAGCUGUAAGCGAUGAGUGCUGGGUGUAGGGGGUAUUAACCCCCCCUGUGCCGAAGCUAACGCAUUAAGCACUCCGCCUGGGGAGUACGGUCGCAAGGCUG